GCAAGUCGAGGGGUAACAUGAUUGAAGCUUGCUUCAAUUGAUGACGACCGGCGCACGGGUGAGUAACACGUAUGCAACCUACCUUUCACAGAGGGAUAGCCCAGAGAAAUUUGGAUUAAUACCUCAUAGUAUUAAUCAAUCGCAUAAUUGAUUAAUUAAAACUCCGGUGGUGAAAGAUGGGCAUGCGCUCUAUUAGUUAGUUGGUGAGGUAACGGCUUACCAAGGCGACGAUAGAUAGGGGCUCUGAGAGGAUAGUC
rnacentral:rRNA from 1 species